rnacentral:rRNA from 1 species
CCCUUAGAUGUUCUGGGCUGCACGCGCGCUACACUGACAUACUCAGCAAGUUUCCUUGCCUGAAAGGGUUGGGUAAUCUUGUUAGUGUAUGUCGUGAUGGGGAUAGAAUAUUGUAAUUAUUGCUCUUUAACGAGGAAUUCCUAGUAAGCGCAAGUCAUCAGCUUGCGUUGAUUACGUCCCUGCCCUUUGUACACACCGCCCGUCGCUCCUACCGAUUGGGUGAUCCGGUGAAUGAUUCGGACUCUGGCUAUGCUAGCUACUAGCUACGUCAGGGAAAGUUUUGUGAGCCUUAUCACUUGGAGGAAGGAGAAGUCGUAACA